GCAUAUGGAGGUUGCCAGGCUAGCGUGGUCAAAUCGGAGCUGUAUCUGCUGGCCUACGCCAGAGCCACAGCAACAUGGGAUCUGAGCCACGUCUGCAACCUACACCACAGCUCACGGCAACGCCAGAUCCUUAACCCACUGAGCAAGGCCAGGGAUCAAACCCACAACCUCAUGGUUCCUAGUCAGAUUCGUUAACCACUGAGCCACGAUGGGAACUCCUUUCCCUGGUGUUAAUGCCAAUUCUAGUGACAAAAUACAGGCUUAUGGAAAUGUUCCCGAAGGAUCAGGAAGGUUCAGAUCUUCCCUCCCAUUACUUUCCAGGGGCAGCAGCACAGAAAUAAGCCUAAAGGGAGUCAGACAACCAAGUAAGGAAACGCCCGAAUCUGGGGGACACUGGGUCUUUAGGUAGUAGCGCCUGAUCCUGCACCCCCAGAGUUCACGGAGUCCACGUCUUUUGAGUGACACAGCCCUCAGUGUCAUCAACACCAUCAACCAGCACUAUUUUGGGGAGGCCUCCUGCAAGGAUUCUGUGGCACUAUAGGGGGGAUAGUAGACAGUGACUAGUCUAGUCCGGAGAAAACACUGGACACUGGGAAUCACGUCCAAAGAAUUUAAACGUGAGGCUGAAGCCAGUUUCCUAAUGGACACCAGCCAAACUUCAACUGUCUCCAGAAAUAACCUUAGACAUUACACUGUGAUUAUUGUCAUUUGAUGUUAAGCUCAGAGAGAUGCAAAUUAAAAGUAUUAGUCUCUAGUUGUGCUUCUUCUACCAGAAAGACAGAAAGAGAGAGAGAGGAAGUAAAAGAGAGAACGAAAAAGAAAGAAAAAGAGAAAGAAGGAAAAAGAAAGAGAGAGAGAAAGAAAAAGAAGGAAGAAAGGGAAGGAAAAGAACAAAGGUAAAAAGAGAAUGAAGAAGUCACACAGAAAAAUGGGACAAAUGUUGGCAGAAAUCCCAACCAUCACAGCCUAAGGAAGGGCUGCUGUAAGAAGGAGGUUCCAGCAGAAGUGGGCAGAUACCCCCGUGAAACCUCAUCACAUGGAAGCUUAAUGGGGGGAGGCAUGGACACAUAAGCAAUAGCUCCACACUGAUGGGAAAACAGAAGUUACUACAUAGCUUGUCAAAAUACUUAGAUGAUAGCUAAAACUAUUCUAAACCAAUUGAUAUCCUGUAAAAUAAGUGAGAGGGACGGAGGGGGGUGAGAGCAGAACAAUUUUCUUUUGAAUAGAGUGUUAGGGAACAAAAAUGAGUGAUAAUCGUAAAGGUUUACAUAAUGAGUAACAUGAAAAUUCUGUUGUGGGGGAGGGUGUUUUCCCUGGUUAUUGCAUAGACUGAUUAAAGAUCAACUUGGAUGUCAUUUAAAAAGCAUUUUCCAUCAAAUCCAGGAAUGCUGUUUUGAAAUAUCAGUAUUCUUCCUCUUAGGGAAAAUAGAAUGACCAUUUAAGUUUAGAAAGUGUUGCAGGAGAGGAAUUAAGAAAACAGCUAAAAUGUGCUACACAGUAAGGGCAUUUUUCUUACAGGAAAGUGAUGAGGCAGGUAGCAGCAUCCAAUGAAAAUCCAACCUAAGAACAAUGAGAAAACGUCCUGGCUAUAUUCACCUCCUAAGUGUGGACUCUGCAUGGAGACAGAGCACGCUCACUCAGCAUACAAAGGAAUGUGGGGUACGUAUCUUGACCUCCCCGAUGGAAAGACCUGGAACACAUUCAUUUGAAAUCUCUCAGACCUCUCAGAUCCCACUUGCAAUUUCAGCAUGAAUUUUAGUAGAGCUGUUUCUGAAAAUCUGGGUAUAUGAGAAUAUUUUGAACGCAACAACACUCAUUUCUAAGGAUAGGAUUUUUCAUUUUCUUUAAGUUGAAUAGGUAAAAACAUGUAUGCUAAAAAGUCUGUGUUCCUCAAGGCCCAUAGUAUAUGUUUUCAGAGAUCUGAAGCUUCAUUUUAUCAAUAAGAACAUGUUUGAAUGUCCACCCAGGCCUUUGUCACAGCACCCAGAGGCAUCAAAUGAACAGUUUUAAUCUUCUUCUAACUUUCAGUAAUUAUUCACCUAACUGCCAUAUGUUAUGUAUCAGGUUUUUUUUGUGAGUAAUCUAUCCUUUUUUUUUUUCUUUUUUUU
rnacentral:lncRNA from 1 species